rnacentral:rRNA from 1 species
CCUACGGGAGGCAGCAGUGAGGAAUAUUGGUCAAUGGUCGGGAGACUGAACCAGCCAAGCCGCGUGAGGGAUGAAGGUACAGAGUAUCGUAAACCUCUUUUGUCAGGGAACAAAGGCGGGGACGUAUCCUCGGAUGAGUGUACCUGAAGAAAAAGCAUCGGCUAACUCCGUGCCAGCAGCCGCGGUACUACGGAGGAUGCGAGCGUUAUCCGGAUUUAUUGGGUUUAAAGGGGGCGCAGACGGUCUGUUCAGUCAGCGGUCAAAGCCCGGGGCUCAACCCGGGACCGCCGUUGAAACUGGCAGUCUCGAGUUGGAGAGAAGUAUGCGGAAUGCGCGGUGUAGCGGUGAAAUGCAUAGAUAUCGCGCAGAACUCCGAUUGCGAAGGCAGCAUACCGGCGCCCAACUGACGCUGAAGCACGAAAGCGUGGGUAUCGAACAGGAUUAGAUACCCCUGUAGUC